rnacentral:rRNA from 1 species
UGCAGCAGGCGCGAAAACUUUGCAAUACACGAAAGUGUGACAGGGCUAUCCCGAGUGCCAUCCGCUGAGGAAGGCUUUUACCCAGUCUAGAACGCUGGGGGAAUAAGGAGAGGGCAAGUCUGGUGUCAGCCGCCGCGGUAAUACCAGCUCUCCGAGUGGUGUGGAUGUUUAUUGGGCCUAAAGCACCCGUAGCUGGCUAAGUUAGUCCCUUGUUAAAUCCACCGAAUUAAUCGUUGGAUUGCGGGGGAUACUGCUUGGCUAGGGGACGAGAGAGGCAGACGGUAUUUCCGGGGUAGGGGUGAAAUCCUAUAAUCCCGGGAAGACCACCAGUGGCGAAGGCUGUCUGCUAGAACGCGCCCGACGGUGAGGGAUGAAAGCUGGGGGAGCGAACCGGAUUAGAUACCCGGGUAGUCCCAGCUGUAAACGAUGCAGGCUAGGUGUUUGGACGGCCACGUGCCGUUCUAGUGCCGCAGGGAAGCUGUUAAGCCUGCCGCCUGGGGAGUACGAUCGCAAGAUUGAAACUUAAAGGAAUUGGCGGGGGAGCAC